AUGGCAACAUCUGGAAGAACAAAGAAGAAGGACCAUAGCAACAACCUGAAAACACAACACCCAGCAUGGCGAAGGACAUACAUGAUGAAGUAAUGACGUUGGUCUUGCGACUGCUGUUAACAGAAAAAUCCUGAACUGAAAAAAUAACAGACUAGAGACAGUGUGAACACAAACUUUAUAUCCUU